AUUGAACGCUGGCGGCAUGCCUUACACAUGCAAGUCGAACGGUAACAGGUCUUCGGAUGCUGACGAGUGGCGAACGGGUGAGUAAUACAUCGGAACGUGCCUAGUAGUGGGGGAUAACUACUCGAAAGAGUGGCUAAUACCGCAUGAGAUCUACGGAUGAAAGCAGGGGAUGGCAAGACCUUGUGCUACUAGAGCGGCCGAUGGCAGAUUAGGUAGUUGGUGGGAUAAGAGCUUACCAAGCCGACGAUCUGUAGCUGGUCUGAGAGGAUGAUCAGCCACACUGGGACUGAGACACGGCCCAGACUCCUACGGGAGGCAGCAGUGGGGAAUUUUGGACAAUGGGCGCAAGCCUGAUCCAGCAAUGCCGCGUGCAGGAUGAAGGCCUUCGGGUUGUAAACUGCUUUUGUACGGAACGAAAAGCCCUGGGUUAAUACCCUGGGGUCAUGACGGUACCGUAAGAAUAAGCACCGGCUAACUACGUGCCAGCCGCCGCGGUAA
rnacentral:rRNA from 1 species